rnacentral:tRNA from 1 species
AAGGCACUAGUAAAAUUGAUAUAACGCUGCCUUGUCGAGGCAGAGUUGUGGGUUAAACCCCCGCGUGCCUUG